GAUGAACGCUGGCGGCGUGCUUAACACAUGCAAGUCGAACGAAGCACUUUAACUUGUUUCUUCGGCUGAAGGUUUUUGUGACUGAGUGGCGGACGGGUGAGUAACGCGUGGGUUACCUGCCUCUUACAGGGGGAUAACAGUAAGAAAUGUCUGCUAUUACCCCAUAUGACCACAGAGCCGCAUGGCUGGGUGGUAAAAAUUCCGUCGGGAUGUGAUGGACCCGCGUUUGAUUAGGGAGUUGGUGGGGUAAUGGCCUACCACUCGAACGAGGAGUGGCCGACCUGGGAGGCGGACCGGCCACAAUUGGACUGAGACACGGCCCAAACUCCGACGGGAGGCAGCAGUGGGGAAUAUUGCACAAUGGAGGAAACCCUGAUGCAGCGACGCCGCGUGAGCGAAGAAGUAUUUCGGAAUGUAAAGCUCUAUCAGCAGGGAAGAAAAUGACGGUACCUGACUAAGAAGCACCGGCUAAAUACGUG
rnacentral:rRNA from 1 species